GGUCUCGUAGCUCAGUUGGAUAGAGCAACAGCCUUCUAAGCUGUGGGUCUUGGUUCGAAUCCCAACGAGAUCACCA
rnacentral:tRNA from 1 species